GGGGACACGGGAUAUCGGGGAUUCAGGAUACCGGGGGUCCGGGACCGCGGAGGGGCAGCUGAGGGCUCGGAGCGUGCGGGGAUGGGGACAGGGAGGGUGAGGGGACGCGGAAGGGGCUCUGGGGGCUGGUUGAGGAGCGUGAAGCCGGCCGAGGUUUAGGGUUUCCUGAGGUGCGGGGAGGAUUUCUGGGAGCUCCGGGGAUGUUGGAUGGGGUAAGGCGAGCACGGCAGAGGAACUGGGACUGAAGAGCUGCAGGGACCUGGUGGGGAGGAUACAGGGAAGGAGAUGGGAAGAGUGUAAGCGUGUGUGGCAUGAGGGAAGGGAGGGAUGCAAACAGACCUCCGGAGCCUUGGAGAGGCGCUGACUGCAGCAGCAUUUGUAGAUCCUGAUGACAUCUUUGUAUUGAUUUCUCUGUCCCUGUGGAGAAGGAAGCAUCAAUGAGGAAUAUACCUAGGAGAAUGUUUCAGUGGUUUUCCCUUAACAGGAAAAGCCACUUUGUUUGUUGAGGAAAUAGCAAAAACUCAGUUGCUUCAUGCUCUGAUUUUUGAACACUGCCUAGAUGAGCUGUGAAUGUGCCUUAGAUUCACCAAAGAAUUUUUAAAAGACUUGCAAGUCAAGUCCUGGCAGUGGAUACUGAACAACUCCAGUGCUGCUGUUCAUGUUGGUGAAAUUGUAUUGAGCAACACCAAAGCAUCCUGAGGGUGUAUGUGGUACAUGAUUCUGUAGAAAUCACAAAUUGGUAUGUAAGUCCAAAGGUUGGUUUAAUAAAAUUGGUGCUCCCUGAAAAAACUGCUCUUGUCAAUCUUUAGCCCAUUGUGGUUUUAAGAAUACAGUUAAAAAGCAGAUAAAUUGGAGUUUUUCUGUGACCCAAACUGGUUUUGUAGCUUAGUUUUAGAGCAAGAAACAUGACAAAUGAGUAUUAAUGAGGAGGUUUCAAAGGAGUCAAAUCCAAGUUGACAUCCUGCAGCCAUCUCCAGGAACACACAAAAUCUGCCAGGUGAAGGAGGAUAUUGGAGGUUUUUAUCUUCUGAAGCAGAGCUAAAGUGGAGGGAAAAUGAGAUGCCUGGUUCAGUGGAUUAAAUGUUAGAAGAAUCUGGAAAGACCAGAGUGGGGUCUGGACUUUGUGCAGAAA